ACCUUCACGUGGUGGUUCGGCGUUAAGUGAACUCUAACGUUACCUUAAGAGAUACCCUCCGCGCCUCUCGUACUAAGGUAAAAUAUAACGGGGUUUACCGUGCCCCUCUCAUGGGCCGGUUGUCACGACCCAAUUUCCCUGGCCAUGACCGGCGCAUGAGCUCAAUGAGCAUAGCUCACUAAGCCCAAGCAAGCCUAUCAAUUUACCUUUG
rnacentral:lncRNA from 1 species